rnacentral:rRNA from 1 species
UACGGGGGGGCAAGCGUUGUUCGGAAUUACUGGGCGUAAAGGGCGCGUAGGCGGUGGGACAAGUGGGUGGUGAAACCUCCCAGCUUAACUGGGAGCCUGCCAUCCAAACUGUCCCGCUGGAGUGUGGGAGGGGAAAGUGGAAGUUCCCGGUCGUAGCGGUGAAAUGCGCAGAUAUCAGGAGGAACACCUAUGCGAAGGCAGCUCGCUGGGACGUAACUGACGCUGGAGACGCGAAGCGUGGGGAGCAAACAGG